UACGGAGAGGGCUAGCGUUGUUCGGAAUUACUGGGCGUAAAGCGCACGUAGGCGGCUUUGUAAGUUAGAGGUGAAAGCCCGGGGCUCAACUCCGGAAUUGCCUUUAAGACUGCAUCGCUAGAAUUGUGGAGAGGUAAGUGGAAUUCCGAGUGUAGAGGUGAAAUUCGUAGAUAUUCGGAAGAACACCAGUGGCGAAGGCGGCCUGCUGGGCAGUUGCUGACACUGAGGCGCGACAGCGUGGGGAGCAAACAGG
rnacentral:rRNA from 1 species